AUUGAACGCUGGCGGCAGGCCUAACACAUGCAAGUCGAGCGGCAGCGGGAAAGUAGCUUGCUACUUUUGCCGGCGAGCGGCGGACGGGUGAGUAAUGCCUGGGGAUCUGCCCAGUCGAGGGGGAUAACUACUGGAAACGGUAGCUAAUACCGCAUACGCCCUACGGGGGAAAGCAGGGGACCUUCGGGCCUUGCGCGAUUGGAUGAACCCAGGUGGGAUUAGCUAGUUGGUGAGGUAACGGCUCACCAAGGCGACGAUCCCUAGCUGGUCUGAGAGGAGGAUCAGCCACACUGGAACUGGGACACGGGCCAGACUCCUACGGGAGGCAGCAGUGGGGAAUAUUGCACAAUGGGGGAAACCCUGAUGCAGCCAUGCCGCGUGUGUGAAGAAGGCCUUCGGGUUGUAAAGCACUUUCAGCGAGGAGGAAAGGUUGGUAGCUAAUAACUGCCAGCUGUGACGUUACUCGCAGAAGAAGCACCGGCUAACUCCGUGCCAGCCGCCGCCGUAAUAC
rnacentral:rRNA from 1 species